rnacentral:rRNA from 1 species
CCUACGGGCGGCAGCAGUCGAGAAUUAUUCACAAUGGGGGAAACUCUGAUGGUGCGACGCCGCGUGGGGGAAUGAAGGUCUUCGGAUUGUAAACCCCUGUCAUGUGGGAGCAAAUUAAAAAGUUAGUAUUACAUGAGGAAGAGACGGCUAACUCUGUGCCAGCAGCCGCGGUAAUACAGAGGUCUCAAGCGUUGUUCGGAGUCACUGGGCGUAAGGUGUGCGUAGGCUGUUUCGUAAGUUGUGUGUGAAAGGCGCGGGCUCACCCCGCGGACGGCACAUGAUACUGCGAGACUUGAGUAAUGGAGGGGGAACCGGAAUUCUCGGUGUAGCAGUGAAAUGCGUAGAUAUCGAGAAGAACACUCGUGGCGAAGGCGGGUUCCUGGACAUUAACUGACGCUGAGGCACGAAGGCCAGGGGAGCGAAAGGGAUUAGAUACCCUAGUAGUC